CUGGCGUCGGUAGCGAUUUGGUUCAACCACACGACUUUUAUCCAGAAUCUGACCCAGAGGGAGAGGCUGCUGAAGAAGUUCAAACUCUACAACUGCAGCAGGACGUUUCUGAAUGGUGCUCCUGUGGAAACUGUGCAACCAUGCCCACAGAAGCUGAGAAUAUCUGCUGCUAGGAGAUACCACAGGUUACCAGACGGCUAUGGGAGAUGGAGGAAGAUUUACCAUGUAUAGUAGACCGUCCUGGGUUGGAGCCGCUCUGCCUCAUUGUGUUCUGCCUGCAACAUGUACCGCAUUGACUAUGGUCCUUCACGGUUGAGAGGAAUACACCAGUACGUUUUGCUUCUUUGUAAAAACAUAUAGUUUCAAUCUAAAUAAAAGAUGUUAGACAGUCUUCUUUUACUUCAGUGCACAUCAUUUUACAAUGGUAAUAACACACCACAAAUAGAGUAACACACCCUCAAAUAAAUUAGUUUAGCUGCUCUUUGAUUUGUAAAGUUCUUCUAUCAGCAGAUAAUGUGCAUAUAAUAUAUGAAUUCAGAGGAGUCAUUUCUUUAGUAACAAUCAAGCAUUUAUUUACAUCAAAUGAGGCAUUUAUAAUCAGUGAUAAUAAAAAAACUGUAGGAUUCACUGGAUCCAUAAAGAAAAUUGUGAGACACAACAUAGAUAUAUGUUUGCAAGACUAAAUGCCCUGUCCAGUUGUUUUAGUCAGUACAGGUAUCUAGCCUAUAGGAGCUUUGUGAGCUGGUGCUGGGGCUUCCUUGGUCGCAGAAUCUGGGUCGUCAUUCCAGCCUGGUCCUAGGCAUCCAUGCCGUGUUUCCUGACGCCACAGGCCAGUACGUGGGUUUUAGACUGGACCAUGAUAGAACCGGGACACAGAGCUGGAUAUGACCUCCUCCUUCUCAGGCCGCUCCAACUGUGCAGUGAGGUCCUCUGGGAUGGGGAUGGCCAAAGCAGCUUCUGUGUAUGGUCCCGGGUCAACAAAGACUUUUUCAAAUAUGAGGUCCACCACAUUCCCUGUUUGAUAAAACACAAAAGAUUUUGUUUACAUUUUUCACUUUUUUUUUUGUUGUAUUUUUACAAAACUAUGACUGAAAGUCUGUUUCUAACCUCCUGACAUUUUCUUUACUGUAUUUUGUUGUUGAUGGAACGGUCAUAACAUUAUACGUGCAAUACUUAAUACAAUGUGUACAAAACAUUUUUUGGUUGAAAUAUAAAAUAAUAUAACACUUAUAGAAUGUCGGCUCAGUCUUAACUGGUUUAGCUCUGCAUUCUCCCUUCAUGGCCUUUAUAUUGGACCUUGAACAGUGGUUCACCUUCUUUUGUUUGGGCUUGUGGUCGGUCAGCAUUUUCAUUGUAGGACAUGGCAGCCAGGUAGAAUCUGGAGGUACAGUAAAGAGAA